UACGAAGGGUGCAAGCGUUAUUCGGAAUUACUGGGCGUAAAGCGUGCGUAGGCGGUUGUUUAAGUCUGUUGUGAAAGCCCUGGGCUCAACCUGGGAAUUGCAGUGGAUACUGGGCGACUAGAGUGUGGUAGAGGGUAGUGGAAUUCCCGGUGUAGCAGUGAAAUGCGUAGAGAUCGGGAGGAACAUCCAUGGCGAAGGCAGCUACCUGGACCAAAACUGACACUGAGGCACGAAAGCGUGGGGAGCAAACAGG
rnacentral:rRNA from 1 species